AGAGUUUGAUCAUGGCUCAGGACAAACGCUGGCGGCGUGCGUAACACAUGCAAGUCGAACGGGGCGAUGGCGAGGUAGUGAUACCGGGUCAUGGCCCAGUGGCGGACGGGUGAGUAACACGUGGAUAACCUGCCCUGGUGUGGGGGAUACCCUGUAGAAAUACGGGCUAAGACCGCAUAUGGUCGUGCUGGGGGAGCCGA
rnacentral:rRNA from 1 species